GGCACUGACACAAAAUAACAUGUUUUGUCGAUUAUCUAAGCAGAAAAAGGUUACUAUUCCUGAUUGCACUGUUAUUAAAUCUUUGCCAAAUGUGACUGAACAUGUCACAUUUACUUUUUUGUUUGUCUUCAUUUCAAUCAAAGGUUCGAACACCCUGUCAAUCAGUAUGUAUUAAAUACAACCUUCAAACGCUUCUUGUAGCCACCUAACAGUAUUCCUAUUCUUGAUUUAGGAAUUUUGGCCACUCUUCCAUGUAGAAUUCUUCUAGUUUAGAAAAAGUCUAAGAUUGUCUCUGAAGGCACUGCAUGUCAACCAAGAGAUUUUCAAUAAUAUGGACUGUGGAGGCCGUUCCAGAAC